UACGUAGGUCCCGAGCGUUAUCCGGAAUUACUGGGCGUAAAGAGUUCGUAGGCGGAACGUUAAGUUUGGUAUGAAAGACCGGGGCUCAACCCCGAGUUUGUACUGGAUACUGGCGAUCUAGAAUGAGGGAGAGGUUAGCAGAAUGGUACGAGUAGGGGUGCAAUCCGUUGAUACGUACUGGAAUACCAAAAGCGAAGGCAGCUAACUGGAACUCUAUUGACGCUGAGGAACGAAAGCGUGGGGAGCGAAAAGG
rnacentral:rRNA from 1 species